GGAAGUGGUAGCUCAGUGGUGAGGACAUUGGACUUCUGAUCUGAAGGUUGAGAGUUCAAAUCUCAGCACCACCA